rnacentral:misc_RNA from 2 species
ACCGACGACGGCGACUACAACAUCAAGAUGCGCAACAUCAAGCGCUUCCUUGAGGACGGCGACAAAUGCAAGAUCACGCUGCGCUUUCGCGGCCGCGAGAUCACGCACCAGGAGCUGGGCCUGGCGCUGUUGCAGCGCAUUCGCGAUGAACUGGGCGACCUGAUCAUGGUCGAGCAGUUCCCGAAGCUCGAAGGCCGGCAGAUGAUCAUGAUGAUCGCGCCGGGCCGCAAGAAGGCCGGCGGUGGUGCACCGAAGCCGGCAGCAGACGCUGCGGC